GACGAACGCUGGCGGCGUGCCUAAUACAUGCAAGUAGAACGCACAGUUUAUACCGUAGCUUGCUACACCAUAGACUGUGAGUUGCGAACGGGUGAGUAACGCGUAGGUAACCUGCCUGGUAGCGGGGGAUAACUAUUGGAAACGAUAGCUAAUACCGCAUAAUAUUAAUUAUUGCAAGAUAAUUAAUUGAAAGGUGCAAUUGCACCACUACCAGAUGGACCUGCGUUGUAUUAGCUAGUAGGUGAGGUAACGGCUCACCUAGGCGACGAUACAUAGCCGACCUGAGAGGGUGAUCGGCCACACUGGGACUGAGACACGGCCCAGACUCCUACGGGAGGCAGCAGUAGGGAAUCUUCGGCAAUGGACGAAAGUCUGACCGAGCAACGCCGCGUGAGUGAAGAAGGUUUUCGGAUCGUAAAGCUCUGUUGUAAGAGAAGAACGGGUGUGAGAGUGGAAAGUUCACACUGUGACGGUAUCUUACCAGAAAGGGACGGCUAACUACGUG
rnacentral:rRNA from 1 species